UGAGGACUGGAGUGUGAGAUGGAGGAGUGUGAGGAAGGAUGGGUGUGAGGACAGGAGUGAGGAUGGGUGUGAAGUGGCUGGUCAUAUUGCAUCUGCAGUCAAGAAGCAAUGGCAAAUACUGGUGCCGUUUGCUUAAUUUUUUUUUUUGCGAGUGUAUCUGCGUGUGUUUGUGUGGGUACACACAUGUAUUCCAAUGUGUGGAGGUUUUCCUAGAGAGAAUGGUGCUUACCAAGUAGACCUGACUGAUUGGCAAGUGAGCCCUGGGAUCUACCAGUCUUCAUCUCCCUAGUGCAGGGGUUACAAGUACUGGAAGACAGAGACCUCAUCCAGUAACUGAUGGAACCAGACACAGAGAUCCACAACCAAGAACCAGUCUGAGCUCCGGGAAUCCAGGUGAAGAGAGGGAGGAGGGAAUAGCUGAGCAAGAGAGGUCAAGAUCAUGAAGGGGACAUCUACGGAGACAGCUGAACCAAGCUCCUGGAAACUCAUCAACUCUAGACCUACAACUGUGGAAACUCCAGGGGACUGAACUAGGCCCUGCGUAUGUGGGAGACAGUUGUGAAGCUUGGACUAUCAGAGGAGCCCCUGAUAGUAGGACCACAAUACAAACCUGGUACAUGAGCUAGCUGGUUGGAGCCCCAUUCCUUAGAGUGGGUUGCCAUCCUCAGUGGAGGUAGGAGCACGAUAUAAUCCCAGUAUAUGAGCUAUCUUGUUGGAGCCCAUUCCCUCUGGUGGGAUGCCAUGCUCAGUCUUAAUGUAUGGGAGAGGGGCCAGGCCCUGUCCUAACUUAUUGUGUCAGACUAUGUUGACUCCUUAUGGGAGCCCUUACCCAUGAGGAGGAGUGGACUUGGGGUGGGCUAGAGGGGAGCUAAGGGGAAGGGGUGAGAGGGAGAACUGUAGUUGGAAUGUAAAAUAAAAUCAAAAAGUAAAAAAAUGGAAAAAUUAUAUUGAUUGAUUGCUUGCUUGCUUGCUUGAUAAGUUAGAAACAGGGUUUUAUGUAGCCCAGGCCUGCCUCAGACUGGCUAUGUAGCCAGGGAUGACUUUAAUU
rnacentral:lncRNA from 1 species